GGAGGACCGAGCUUGAUGGGCUUAGCAUCAGCGAGAACGGCUUGAACGAAAGAGCCGGAGGCGAGACCGGCGGCGACCAAGCCAAGAACAGCCCUGCGGCUGGUCUCAGGCUCAGCAGGAACUUGCUGGGCUUUGAUCAUCAACCCAGACCGGGGGAGAGAGGGCCUGCUGCUGCCAGCCACACUCAAGCGGGAUGAGCCACUAAUUUGAAGGCUACCUUCCAAUACAGCCUGAGAGGAACCACAGAGCCCUGCCAUUGAUGCCAUAGCUUGUGCCAUUUCUACCACCAGCCUUUUGAAUACCUUUUUUUAACGAAGUUAAAGGUUUUUCUAGUGAGAAAUGGAGAAUUAUGUUGUAG
rnacentral:misc_RNA from 1 species